AUGGUAGUUCUUGUGUGUAAUCAGGUCCCAAUAAUGCUCCUAUCUGAGAAUGAUCCAAAUGGAGCCCUUAUUAUGAUUGCCACUGGCACACUGUGUUGCUCCCUACCAUGGAUACCUAAGAAUGUAUGUUCAGCGAAGAUCUUAUCAAAUUACAGAGUUUGUGGCCUGUUUUGGCUCUUGGUGUGGUUAAUACCAACAACCUUUUUGAUGAAGAAUUUUCAUCCUAACUUAAGGAGCAUCAUGACAAAUUCAGGUUAUUACUUAUUACUCACAGAAGUAUAUUUCAUAAAAAGGAAAACAUUCAUGAAACAAACCAUUUUAGUCUAUUUUAGCAUUUUCUAUAAUUUAUCUUGUCUUCAUGUAUUUACAGAAAAAUUAUCUUUUUUAUCAUAA
rnacentral:rRNA from 1 species